GCAAAAUUUAUUCGUAAGUUAAUUGUGAACUUGUCAAGUUCUUGAACCUCGUAUGUCUCCAUGCGGGCUAUGUCUUUGCCGAUGUUUCUUAUUGCUACCCUGCCUGCCCAUUUUUUAAAUACUCCAACCAAUAAAUUUGUACUUUUUCUAGUGUUCAAGUUUUCACUAGAAGUUUUUAAUUCGUCAAUAACAUUAUUAUCCGCGACGUCAAAGUGAGAAGCCAUUGUUUUUAUUGCUAUUUAAAACAAGAACAUGCUUGCAUCUCAGCCAAUCAGGUACAAGUAAUUUUGCCCUGAAAAAAAUGCCUUCCUCAUUAGCUAAUUAAUUAAUCAUAUUUGAGUAAUUUUGCCCCCUAUAUGAUUAUAAGUGAAAUAAGCAAACUAUCCAAAUGGCCUAACCUUCUAAAGUGAGGCUGUUAAUAAGAUUAUCUGACUACAAUUUUUCCGUUUUUUAACUGACAACUGAAAAAUAUAUC